rfam:Arabis alpina cultivar Pajares Aa.chr6_contig_5862, whole genome shotgun sequence.
UCCCUAUGAAGAAGAAUUCCCAAAGAUAGGAAGUGCCGUAUGACACUCAAACACAAAAGCGUGACUU